rnacentral:rRNA from 1 species
UAUACCGUGAAACUGCGAAUGGCUCAUUAAAUCAGUUAUCGUUUAUUUGAUAGUACCUUACUACUUGGAUAACCGUGGUAAUUCUAGAGCUAAUACAUGCUAAAAACCCCAACUUCGGAAGGGGUGUAUUUAUUAGAUAAAAAACCAACGCCCUUCGGGGCUUCUUGGUGAUUCAUGAUAACUUUACGGAUCGCAUGGCCUUGCGCCGGCGACGGUUCAUUCAAAUUUCUGCCCUAUCAACUUUCGAUGGUAAGGUAUUGGCUUACCAUGGUUUCAACGGGUAACGGGGAAUUAGGGUUCGAUUCCGGAGAGGGAGCCUGAGAAACGGCUACCACAUCCAAGGAAGGCAGCAGGCGCGCAAAUUACCCAAUCCCGACACGGGGAGGUAGUGACAAUAAAUACUGAUACAGGGCUCUUUUGGGUCUUGUAAUUGGAAUGAGUACAAUUUAAACCUCUUAACGAGGAACAAUUGGAGGGCAAGUCUGGUGCCAGCAGCCGCGGUAAUUCCAGCUCCAAUAGCGUAUAUUAAAGUUGUUGCAGUUAAAAAGCUCGUAGUUGAAACUUGGGCCUGGCUGGCAGGUCCGCCUCACCGCGUGUACUUGUCCGGCCGGGCCUUCCUUCUGGAGAACCUCAUGCCCUUCACUGGGUGUGUUGGGGACCAGGACUUUUACUUUGAAAAAAUUAGAGUGUUCAAAGCAGGCCUUUGCUCGAAUACGUUAGCAUGGAAUAAUAGAAUAGGACGUGCGGUCCUAUUUUGUUGGUUUCUAGGACCGCCGUAAUGAUUAAUAGGGACAGUCGGGGGCAUCAGUAUUCAAUUGUCAGAGGUGAAAUUCUUGGAUUUAUUGAAGACUAACUACUGCGAAAGCAUUUGCCAAGGAUGUUUUCAUUAAUCAGUGAACGAAAGUUAGGGGAUCGAAGACGAUCAGAUACCGUCGUAGUCUUAACCGUAAACUAUGCCGACUAGGGAUCGGGCGAUGUUCUUUUUCUGACUCGCUCGGCACCUUACGAGAAAUCAAAGUUUUUGGGUCUGGGGAG